rnacentral:tRNA from 1 species
GGUCGGGUGGCCUAAUGGUAAGGCGCUAGAUUUCGGCUCUAGAGAUUGGGGGUUCGAAUCCCCUCUCGAUCG